GGAGGAGGGACCGCGGCGGGGGCGGGGGCGGCCAACCUCGCCUCCAGACCCCGCCGCGGCCCCGGAGUCACAGGCGCACCUCCGCCUCCAGGGACUCUCCCAGGAGAGACCCGCGGGCUCCGGGCCUCGAGGAAGAGGCGGUCCUUUCGUCGUGGAAAGGAGGGACCUGGGGUCCGCGUGAGGUCUGGGGAGAGAGUGAGAGCCGGCGCGUGUUGAUGGAUGGAAGUCUCGUGGAAACGGAGAGGCCAGUACUUUUCAUCUCGGCUUCGCCAAAGAUCCCUGAGCCGUCCCCGGUUCGCGCGCUCGUCCGCAGCCCGGAUCCGGAGUCGGGUUCUCAGGCUGGCGGUUCCGCCAUCUGGGAGGGAGAUCCGGCGUGGUACCCUGAUUGAGGAGGGAGGUGCGACUCCCCUGCGCCGUCCCUCGCCCCUUCUUAACUGCCCCAAGACAGAAUUCCUUUUAGUUGCCAGAACAAAUACCCAGGAGGAGGAGCACGUUUUCGCAUAAAUGGGGACUUUUCACGUAACACUUUUUCUCAGUUCAGGAGUAUUUUCCCUGGCAAAAGUAUCGGUUAGCUGAUAAACUACAGGGUGAAUUCAAACUGCGGUUUAGGACUUUUUUUGGCCCCAACUCCAGCAGUGUGUUCGUUUUAUAGAGGGCAGAAACAAACAAACAAAAAAUCUUGGUUAUACCACCAAUGUUCUUUUCGACCAAAGGGUUGCAGACAAAGAUAUUAUUUAAUCUGACUACGGAAUUCUCAGUUUUUAUCUCCGAGAAGCUUUUGAACCAGGCGAGCCCUCGGGCACCCGGCGGCUUUUCAAGUUCAAGGGCACUUUGUUGUCGCUUUCCCCCUGACAGCGGGGGCGUUAGGGUGUGAGUGUGCGCAGUGGCUGCGUGGAGUUGUGCAAAUGCUACUCCACUCCAAAGAUCGAAGCUAAUUACACUUUUCUUCCAGUGGUGUGAGACUUAGUUUCAAUCUUGCAUUUCAUUCUGGAGAGUUCCCACCGAUUGCUAAGCCUUGAGCUGGCAUGAGGGGGCGAGGAGAGUUUAUUGCGAAAUCUUAACUUUUGAAUAAAUACAAGCAGGCGUGGGGAGAGAAAUGCGCGGUGGUGAACGCAGUCGAUGGAGCGUGGUCUGGCGACCUGGCGAAACAACAGGCGCCAGGUUACACGUCUUUCGGGGGCUCUCAGCACGUUCUAGACCAAAAGUGAUAGCCGAAAACACUUGGUGAACGCCUUAAAUAUCCGCAGUGAGCACUGCAAAGCUCCUAUAUGAAUCUGCUUUACUUCCUGGAGAGUUGAGGACCAGGGAGGGAAAAAGCCCAGCGCCCUGACUCCCGGUGCACAAAUAAUUUUAGUGUUUAUUGAUGUCUACUUAAAGUAAUUGACCAGAAAAUACCUCCCUGUCUAAGCCACAUAAAGAGUGCUCCAUUGAAAGCUAAUUGACCUAUUUAUGUUUCAGUUCAGUUUGAUGUCUCCAUCGUUCUUUUUUGCAGAAGCUGUCAACUCUGACAAAGGAAGGAAACUGGAAGCUAGGGAAGCUGCACCUGCAGAAAGUGCUGGAAUUCCCAGGCCAACCCCACCCCACUGUCCUUUACCUGUACUUGGAUCUUUCUUACUUAGUCGUUUGAGAUUCAGCAGUUACUUGGAUUUUCCUAAGUAAAAUCCAGAAAGGGAAAUUUGUGCUCAUUAACAUGCACAAACAUUUAAAUUUCUGAGUGGCUUGGAUUGAGUCAAGAGGAAAGGAUUCUUCCUGCCAUGGCCGCAGAAAGUUGUCAGUAAAAACUGAGAACUUUCAGCAGAAGAUAGAAAGGCAAUAAUUUAGAGACACAGAGAAAAUCCCUCGAUAGAAAAAAAGAAAAAAAUGCUCCAAGUAAAAGUUAGGAAAUUUAUUUUUUGUACAAAAAUCCUUUGAACCUUGUUUGACAGUAAAUGUAUUUUGUUAGUUAUGUGGGUAGAUCUGAAUUUCUCCGAGACCCUUUGCACUUGUGAAUCUGAGAUUCAUUCUCAGCAAAGAUGAGUAAUGGAUCUUUGAGGAAUCUACGCUUUAAAGUUGAUGUUCCCUGUUGGUCAUGGAAGCAGCUUCGCUUUCGAUACUUUAUGAGGUUGGUUGUCAAGGGAACCUUGGGUAAAAUUUCUCAGGAGUGUCUCUGAAAACAUUAUUCAUAAUUAAAAAGUGAUGCAUAGAAAUCACCAGAAAAGUUAUGGCAAGUUAUGUUCGAACAUGUUUUUUGACCAUGUGGAAUAAAUAAAAUCAUUAAGGUCUGGUUGGGUAAGACUGUCUCCCUGACUUCCUUUGACUGUGCCAGGAGGAUCUGAGAGAGCAUCAUGGAUGUGAGAGCAACCUGUGGAGUAUGAGCUGAAGGGGACCUCCAUUUUCUCUAGAUAUUUCCUGUAUUGAAAUACAAAUUAUAAUUCCAUCCUUUUAAAGACUCCUACAAAGUGUAGUCCAAGAGGUGUGUAAAGUAGCACUAAAGGGGUAUCCUUUUGUUUUUAGACUGGCGACUCGUUUCUUACAUGAUAGUAUACAUGUUUCCAUGCCAUGCUCCCAAAUCAUCCCACCCUCUCCCUCUCCCACAGAGUCCAAAAGUCCAUUCUAUACAUCUGUGUCUCUUUUGCUGUCUCACAUACAGGGUUAUCAUUACCAUCUUUCUAAAUUCCAUAUAUAUAUGUGUUAGUAUACUGUAUUGGUGUUUUUCUUUCUGGCUUACUUCACUCUGUAAAUAGGCUCCAGUUUCAUCGACCUCAUUAGAACUGAUGCAAAUGUAUUCUUUUUAAUGGCUGAGUAAUACUCCAUUGUGUAUAUGUACCACAGCUUUCUUAUCCAUUCAUCUGCUGAUGGACAUCUAGGUUGUUUCCAUGUCCUGGCUAUUAUAAACAGUCCUGGCUGCGAUGAACAUUGGGAUACACGUGUCUCUUUCAAUUCUGGUUUCCUUGGUGUGUAUGCCCAGCAGUGGGAUUGCUGGGUCAUAAGGCAGAUCCAUUUGCAAUUUUUUAAGGAAUCUCCACACUGUUCUCCAUAGUGGCUGUACUAGUUUACAUUCCCACCAACAGUGUAGGAGGGCUCCCUUUUCUCCACACCCUCUCCAGCAUUUAUUGCUUGUAGAAUUUUGAAUCACAGCCAUUCUGACUGGUGUGAAAUGGUACCUCAUUGUGGUCUUGAUUUGCAUUUCUCUGAUAAUGAGUGAUGUUGAGCAUCUUUUCAUGUGUUUGUUAGCCAUCCGUAUGUCUUUUUUGGAGAAAUGUCUAUUUAGUUCUUUGGCCCAUUUUUUGAUUGGGUCGUUUAUUUUUCUGGAAUUGAGCUGCAGAAGUUGCUUGUAUAUUUUUGAGAUUAGUUGUCAGUUGCUUCAUUUGCUAUUAUUUUCUCCCAUUCAGAAGGCUGUCUUUUCACCUUGCUUAUAUUUUCCUUUGUUGUGCAGAAGCUUUUAAUUUUAAUUAGAUCCCAUUUGUUUAUUUUUGCUUUUAUUUCCAGUAUUCUGGGAGGUGGAUCAUAGAGGAUCCUGCUGUGAUUUAUGUCUGAGAGUGUUUUGCCUAUGUUCUCCUCUAGGAGUUUUAUAGUUUCUGGUCUUACGUUUAGAUCUUUAAUCCAUUUUGAGUUUAUUUUUGUGUAGGUGUUAGAAAGUGAUCUAGUUUCAUUCUUUUACAAGUGGUUGACCAGUAAAGGGGCAUCUUUAAUACCUGUAGGUUUUGGGCUUUUUUUUUUUUUCUUUUUUAAAAGGGGGAUAAAGACGGUGAAAAAUCCCAUGUGAUAGAGUCUGAAAGAUUGAAUGAACCCAUUGGAACAUAAACCCACAGUCAGAUGAUGUCCCACAGGUUGGUAUCUUAGUGGUGAAAUUCUCAAGACAGACUCUGUUGCUACCAAACUUGGCUCUGCAGGAAAAAGCAGUUCAUUGAGGUCCAAAGGUUUGUAGGGCAGGGCUUGUCAAGGCUGUGUAGUAGCCUAUACUGCUAAUGUAGCUUCUAAAGGCAUCGGGUUUACAGUCUGACUUAUCUUGGGCUCUAGUGGACUGUGACAGUAUGUCAGCUGCUAAUAUUUAUGUGGAGAAUCAGCAUUUACUAGGGCAGUGGACUUAUGAAAUAAUCCAGACAGAAGCCCUUGCACUCACUAAAAACUGCUCCCACUGAACUACUCACUAAAAGAAUAGGUGCCGUUUCUAAGCCCAUUCGUGUUCACCCAGAUGCACCAUGGCAUACUUUAUUAGGUCAUUUUUUACCUCUUCACAGUCAGCUAAACCAGGAGCCUGUGUGAUGAGUCACCGGCAUGUGAAGGUGGCUACAACAGAUAGGUUGGCUGAAUAUUCCAGGCGCUGGCUAUUCAUAAGUAGUCUAGAGCUGGCCUCACUUAGAAGUAGCUUGUACAUUACGUUUCAGAAGGAAUGUCAUUCUUUGAAUUGGGGAGGCCUCCCUCUCUCCUGCUUGCAAACAGGCUGUUACUCAUUCAGGAGACAUUCCUGGGGGGCCACAGUGUGCCAGGCACCCAGCCACGCAUUCACUUGAUAAGAGGCCCUGCCAUGGAGUCAGUCCAUUCUGCCUGCCUGUGAGAAUCUGGCCUACUAAUGUGUACCAAGGACCUUAGAAAUGUUCACAGCUUUUAAGCUAGUAUUUCUGUUUCUCGUAAUUUGUCGUAUGGAAAUGAUUUCUAAUAUGACAAAACUUUUUUUUUAAGUUUUUCUUUAGAUGAGUUCUUGCAUACGGUUAAGAAUGCAAGCUUUGGUGUCACGUCUAGUUUGGUUUCUCUCUAAGCCUUGGUUUUGUGAUCUGUACAGUGGGGAUAAUAGCUGCUUCUAAGAGGGCUAUGAUUUUUAACUAAAAUCAGGAACCAUAUAAUUCAAACCAGUCAACCCUAAAGGAAAAAGAAAGUGAACGUGUAGUCAUUCAGUCGUGUCCGGUUCUUUGUGACCCCCUGGACUGUAGCCUUUCAGGCUCCUCUGCCCAUGGGAUUCUCCAGGCAAGUAUACUGGAGUGGGUUGCCAUUUCCUUCUCUGGGGGAUCUUCCCAACCCAGGGAUUGAACCUAGGUCUCCUGCAUUACAGGCAGAUUCUUUUCCAUCUGAGCCACCAGGGAAGCCCGUCUCAACCUUGAAUUGGAAGGACUGGAGCUUCAACUGAAGCUCCAAUGCUUUGGCCAGCUGAUGGGAAAAGCCAACUCAUUGGAAAAGACCCUGAUGCUGGGAAAGAUUGAAGGCAAAAGGAGAAGGGGGUGACAGGAUGAGAUGGUUAGUUAGCAUCACCAACUCAAUGGACAUGAAUUUGAGCAAACUCUGAGAGAUAGUGGAGGGCAGAGGAGACCAGUGUGCUGCAGUCCCUGGAGUUACAAAGCACUGGACAUGACUUAGCGACUGCACAACAGCAAAACCAUAUGAUUCACCCAUUUGAAGUGUACAGUUCAGUGGUUUUUAGUAUAUAUCCUCAUAUAUGUGCAAUCCUCCUCACAAAUAAGUUUUAGAACACUUUUAUCACCUCCAAAAGAAACCCCACUAGCUAUUAACUCCCAAUCUUCCCACCCCUACCAGUAGCCCCAAACAACCACUAACCUACUUUCUUUCUCUGCAUUUCCCUGUUCUAGACUCUCACAUGACUAGAAUCCUAUAGUAUGUGGUCUUAUGUGUCCAGCUUCUUCCAGUUAGCAUGAUGUUUUCACAGUUCAUCGAUGUUGUAGCAUGUAUCAGGACUCCAUUCCUUUUUUAUGGUCAAAUAAUAUUCCAUUGUAUGGAUAUACCACAUUUUCUUUUUAAAAAAUAUUUUAAUUAUUUGACUGUACCAGGUCUUUAUUUUUGGCACUUGGGAUCUUCAGUCAUUGUUGCAGCAUAUGGCGUCUGUAGUUGCGGCAUCCAGAAUCUAUUAGUUGCAGCAUCCAAACUCUCAGUUGGAGCACAUGGGAUCUAGUUCCCUGACCGGGGAUCAAACUCAGGCCCCAUGCAUGGGAGCAUGGAGUCUUAGCCCCUGGACUGCCCGAAAGUCCACAUUUUCUUUAUCUGCUCUUUGAUGAUCAUGUGUUUUGUUUCCACCUUUUGGCUUUGAUGAAUAAUGUUCCUCCAACUUUUAUUUUGGUCCCUUAAAAAUUUUGAAAGUGAAAGUUGCUCAGUUGUGUCCGACUCUUUCUGACCCCGUGGACUAUACAGUCCGUGGAAUUCUCCAGGCCAGAAUACUGGAGUGGGUAGCUUUCCCUUCUCCAGGGGAUCUUCCCAACCCAUGGAUUGAACCCAGGCCUCCCGCAUUGCAGGUGGAUUCUUUACCAACUGAGCCACCAGGGAAGCCCAAGAAUACUGGGGUGGGUAGCCUGUCCCUUCUCCAGCAGAUCUUCUUGAUCCAGGAAUCGAACCAGGGUCUUCUCCAUUGCAGGUGAAUUCUUUACCAACUGAGCUGUGAGGGAAGCAAUAUUUUGUGAAUUUUAUAGCAAGGAUAAUCUGGCCUGGGUAACUCGUACAUUUGAGUCUGGUGUUAAGGAUAGGGCAAGAUUAUGGAUUUCAUCCUGGUAUUGGUCAGUUAGCUCAGUACACAUUCAAACUGUUCCAAGCCACAUUUACAGGUUUCAUCUGUACCCUUAUGUCCAGCAGACUAGUUUAUAAUGAAUGGGCUUGUUCACCAGAAAGAUAAGACUCUAAGCUCAUCUCUGCUCUUGCCUGGGAAAUCCCAUGGUCAGGCUACAGUGCGUGGGACUGCCAAAAAAUUGGACAUGGCUGAGUGGCUAAACAACAGCUAGUCAGAAAACAGCCCUGUGGUUGGUAGCACUGAUUGUGGUGACUUAACAGAGGUCCUGAGAUUUGACUUUUGGCAUUUUCCCUUUAGAAAUUGUAUCUCCUGGAUGUUGGGAAUAUUCUGGGUCUUGAUCUGGGUGAUGGUUACAUGAGAUUCAUGUGAAAAAUUCACCAAGCUGCUUACUUAAAACUUGUAUAUAAUAUUUAAUUAUAUGAAAAUUACUCUCUAAUUAAAGAAAAUAAGUAUAACCCGGCAGAAAUUAUAAUCAGAUCACCCUUUUAACUCGACCAUCCCAACUACUUCUGCCUUUCUGGCUGUUUCUAAAUGACCACAGAGACAGGCCACACAGCUGGUAAGGGACAGAGCUGGGGUUUAAUCCAGCUCUUACUCGGUGUGUAGUGUGACUUUCACUGGGAACUCUUCCAGUGCCUAGGAUCUGCCUGAACCAUGUGGCGAAUGAGUCCUGGGGCUGCUCUAGGGGCUCAGGUCUCCUGGACCUGGGGUGCAUGCUCUGUCCAUCCUGUGCCCCUCUUUACCCCUCGCUCCCAGCAUUGUACUGGUCGUGUAGUAGAUGGCCAGUACAUAUGUGUUGAGUCAGUGUUACCAGAGCAGAGUUCUUGCCAAAGGCCAAGCAGACUGCCCACUUGGCAGUUGCUGGAAAAACCAAGGCAGGAAACUCAAUUCCUAUUUUUUCCCCAUGGCAACACCAAUGGCUGUUGGUCUGUCACAAGCGCAUGGAAAGUUCCCACUGGAGAUAUCAGAGCUCUCUGGCAGGACCCGUAGGUGUUAAUUUUAGCUUUCAAUGACUGAUGCCCUUGUAUAAUUUAAUGGGUCAGGAGGAGCAUGAGCGAAAGCCAAGAUUACUCACUCAGAGAGCUUUUCCUUUCCUGUCGAGCACUUGCUGAGUUAUUCAGUUUGUAAAGGACUUGCCACUUAUUCAUUUAUUUGGAGAGAGUUUCCGCUGUUUUGAGUCUAGCCUGAUAACUAUAAAUGAUUCCUUAAAUCUAUUAGCAAUCUAUCCUAUCAAUCAGAUUUUCUUUCUGAGUUUAUGCAUUAAACAUGAGUUCAACUCACAGCGUCAAAUGCUAAAAGGCUAUAGAUAUAAUCAUAAAAUAAAAUGCUCACAUUUCCCUACAUACCCUGAGUUGAAAUAUACGUAGGUUGAAUGUCAAUUACUUGGAACGAGGAAGUGAAUAUCCACAGGGGUUUCUGUGUCUACCCCAUUUUACUACUUGAGUCCUGGUAGGAAAUGAGGACUUGGCAUAUUGAGGAAAGAGGCUUGUGCUUCUGGAGAAAUAAUAUCUCAGCUGCCAAUUGCAGCUGCCCUGGGGUCACUGGGGAUAGGACUCUCUAGCUGAGCACAGAUUCAUGCAUUUGACUUUGUGCAUCGUCUACUCCCACACUGUAUGUAACCCAUCUCCCUGGGCCUCAGGUGCAUCAGCUGUUGGAGGAGCUUUCUGAGCUUUUGCCUGGUGGUGGUCCCUGCUGGUCCACAGAACAGCUUCAGCGGACUGUGUUCUUCGCUUGUUCAGUGGGCUUUGUCGAAUUCCUUGAAUAUUUUAUUGAUCCCUCCCUAAUUAAUAUUGGAAAGUCGGUAGAAAAUGGUGAAAGAGGAUCAUAGACUUCGUAAUGCAAUGUAAUAGAAAUGGAAAGGAAUUAUUAGAUGCUGUGAAAGUGUGGGUCUUUAAAUUCAACCGAAAGAAAUAAAACUGCCCAACUGUGGACCCAAUCAUGAAGGACAAGAAUGAUAAUAGAGAACAUGGAUAAGGUGUUAAAAUAUAAUAGUAUAAAUACAUCUGAGGUAAGCAAACAGGUUAACAGGGGGAAAGCUCUCUCUGUGUAAAAGUAUUUGACUAUACUAUCUAUAAAAGAAAGCAGGAUAGAAUUAGGAUACGUCAUGUUGUGAACCUCUGAUGAAAUUAUGGAUUUCACCAAAGGCCGCCUCAUCAUCAAUGGCCAAUAGAAGGCAUUGUCUUUGGUUUUCAUUAGUUUUACUGAUUUGCCUAGAAAUACGUUGUUUUGUUGUAGUUAUCAUGCUCGACUCUGUGCUUUGAUGUCUCUUGUCAUUUUAGAAAAUUCUCAGUAGUCUUGUCUUCAAAUAUCACUUCUCUUUAUCCCCUCCAUCAUCUUGUCCCCACUCCAGUAAUACCUAUGUUAGAUCUUGACAGUGAGCUCCACAUGUUUCAUAUGCAUGUUUUUGCGUUGUUCAUGCUUGCAAUUUGGGCCAGUGUUCAGACUAAAUCUGGUUUCCCUUUCUCUCAGGGUAUAGACCUGAGGUCUCAAUUGAAAGCUUUUUAUCAAUCCUGAGCCUUAGAAAGCCUCAAGGCUCCUCCUCUCUGGCAGGCCUGGGGUUCUAAUUUUUUGCAUCUCUAGCAGCAUGGCUUGCAUUAGUUUCCUAGCAUUGCUGUAACCAAUACCGCAAACUUGGUGGCUUAAAAACAAUAGAAAUUUAUUCUCCCGCAGUUCUGGAGAUCAGGAAUCGAGGUGUCAUGAGGGCCAUGCUUCCUCUGAAAGCUCUCAGGAAGAUUCCUUCUAUGCCUCCUCCAUCUUCUGGUGCCCCCAAGCCUCCCUGCAUUGGUAGCUGGAGCACUCUGAUCUCUGGCUCCAUUCUCCCAGGGUCUCUUGCCGUGUGUCUCUGUGUUCUCCUCUCUUCCUGUAAGGAGGCCAGUCAUGGAAUUUAGGGCCCGCUCUGAAUCAGAAUGGGCUUCUCUAGUGGCUCAGGAAGUAAAGAAUCUGCCUGCAGUGCCGGAGACCUGGGUUCGAUCCUUGGGUCAGGAAGAUCCCCUGGAGAAGGGAAUGGCUACCCACUCCAGUAUUCUUGCCUGGGGAAUCCCAUGGACAGAGGAGCCUGGUGGUCUGUAGUCCAUGGGGUCACAAAGAGUCGGACACAAUUGAGCGACUAACACUACACUGAAUCAGGAUGAUUUCAUCUCAAGAUAAACUAACUACUUACGUGUCCAGGUAAGGUUACUCACUGAAAUUCUUGGAAUUUGGGAGUACACUGCUUACUGCUCUGAUUCUGCUGCUCACAUAUAUCUCUUUUUUCCCCUGCUGAUUUUUUUUCUACCUAUCAUGUUAGAGGCCACGUCAUGUUAGAAUGCUAGGGGGAAAAAAAAAAAGCCAGUAACAUGAUGUUAGAGGACAGUGUCAAUGAUAAGACAAGAAUGGAACAUAGAACAAAACCAGAAAGCAGAGCAAACAAAGAAAAGGAAGAGAUCUUGGCCAGAUCAGAGAGUGGGUCUGACUGACAGUUCUAAGCUGUUUGGAAGGACAUGCGGGCAGCUGGGCUUCCAUGUCGGGUGGUUGAGAAGCUAUUCAGUUUUUUCUCUGGGGGCCCGGCUGUGAGUAUCUAUAAUCGUUUCGUGUGUGUGUGUAUUAGUCGCUCAGCUGUGUUUGACUCUUUGCGACUCCAUAGGCUGUAGCCCACCAAGCCCUUCUGUCCGUGGGAUUCUCCAGGCAAGAACUGGAGUGGGUUGCCAUUCCCUCCUCCGGGGGAUCUUUCCAACCCAGGGAUUGAACCCAGGUCCCCCAUACUGUGGGCAGAUUCUUUACCAGCUGAACUACCAGGGAAGCCCAAGAAUACUGGAGUGGGUAGCCUAACCCUUCUCCCAGGGAUCUUCCCAACUCAGGAAUCAACCCGGGGUGUCCUGCAUUGCAGGUGGAUCCUUUACCAGCUGAGCUACCAGGGAAGGCCCAUAAUUGUUUUAACUGGGGCCAUUUAGUUUCUUUUUGGUCAAAUCCUCCCAUUUCUUGUCUGGGGAAAGUGCACCUCAUUCCAGUUUUCUGGGAACUUAAGUGGGAGAGACAGCUAUUCAACAUAUAAGAUGUUCACUUAAUUCUUCUAUUUUCCAUCCAGGUUUCUGCUCCCACCUUCUGCUCUGCCUGCUUUGCCUGAGUCUGGGGACUCCACAAAUGGAAGAUUUGGAGACAAAAGUAUUUAGAAAAGAAGUGUACUCGAAAAAGAUCUGUUAAGAAUCUCCAUGGGCUAAAAGGAUUAAAUCAUCAAAAAAUAUAUGCAUGUAUCUAAAGGUAAAAAAAUGCUCAAAAUUACCAAGGUUACUGAGAUUACAGUUGGUCUGUGCAUGGCAGAAAAAUAGCAAAUUUAUCACGAUUGUCAUAUCCACAAGGGUCCUGACAAAUCUCCAAGCAGCAGCAUUGCAGAAGUCUGGGAGAAAGUUGUUUUUGCUAGGGAGCUAGUAACUUACCGGAAAGGGUCAAGAUUUCUUUUAUUUCCCUGACCCUGUUUUGUUUGUUUCUCUCAGGUACAAUGUGCUUUUCCCUUUUUGACUAUGAGAUGAGGUGUGUAUGAUUACCCAAAGUGAGAUGCCGUUUCACUUCUACAGUUCCACCUGGUGGUCAGGUUUCUGGUCCUGAGGCACAUAUUUAACCAUGAUUCCUGCAAACUAACCUGAGAAGCCUUCCUGCCAAAGAGGAUCUACGCCUGCUUUUACCAAACAGAUGGGGAAGUUCACCUUGGAAUUAUUCAAAGUUUUUUUUGGGGUGAGAAUCUCAGAUUUGGGUCCCUCUCUGGGGCUUCCCAGGUGAUUCAGUGGUAACGAAUCUGCCUGCCAAUGCAGGAGAUGCUGGUUUGAUCUUUGGGUUGGGAAGAUCCCCUGGAGAAGGAGAUGGCAACCUCCUUCAGUAUUCUUGUCUGGAAGAUCCCAUGGACAGAGGAGCCUGGCGGGCUACCGUUCAUGGGGUCGCAAAGAGCGGGACCUGACCGAGUACACACACACACCCACACACACACACCCACACACACACAUCCACACACACACACACAGCCUACCUCAGGACAGCUCCACCCAGUCCCUGUUGCCGUGGUUCAGGCCAGUUUCCACCACUCAGAUUCCUGGUUACGCCAGCCCUGUCUCCCUCCUGGCCUUCCUGCCAGCUCCUGCCCAUUCCUGUCCUCGCUCUUGGUGACUCCUGCCCAGCUUCUGGUCACAGAAGACUGGAGACCCCCAGUCCCCUCUCGUCUCCCCGGCCCCCUCUUAGAUUCCGCCUUCCUUUGUGUGUCCGUCUGUCUAUUUCGUGAGUAGAUCUCGUGAAGCAGGUCAGCCCCAAGGCGCCUUCUUGCUCAGGGUGUGGAGAUUGCUCUUUUGUGGAACUUACCUUAACAAGGAAUAUACGCCUUGGUAAUGUGUUGGGUGUCACCUUAGGUGGGAAAGCAGGGACUUACACCCCAGGCUGCUCAGAGAUGGAAGAGCCUCGGUCCCUACCCCACAGGUGACCCUGAGGGUGGAACAGCUCCGUGGACACAAGGUAGGCACUUCAUACAUUCAGGUGUGAAAUUCGAGUCACAGGGACCUCCUCCAGGAUUCAGCCUUGCAUUUGAUUCUUCACCUUCCCCUCAAUCGUGGCUCCCUGUCGACCCAGUGGAUUAUCCUGCACGGCCACCAUAACCCUUGCUCUGAGGAAAUGCUAGGAUAAAUGUGUACGUGUACCCUGCUUAAUAGUCCCCACCAGGGGACUCCCCUGGAGGUCCAGUGGCUAAGACUCUGAGCUCCCAAUGCAGGGAGCCUAGGUUCAGUCCCUGGUCAGGGAACUAGAUCCCACAUGCCGCAACUAAGACCUAGUAUAGCCAAAUAAAAAAACCGUAUGGCCCUUCUUAGCGAUACCAGUGUGGCUUUUGGUUCUUUUAAUUUGUUCAGGCCACGUGGCAUGUGGGGUCUUAGUUUUCCAACGAUGGAUCAAACCUGCAGCCACUACAUUGGAAGGGCAGAAUCUUAACCACUGGACCGUCAGGGAAGUCCUGUGCUAUCAGUUUUGACCAGGGGCAAUCCAAAGAAAAGUGAAAGUGAAAGUCACUCAGUUGUGUCCGAUUCUUUUCGACCCCACAGACUCUGCAGUCCAUGGAAUUCUCCAGGCUGGAAUACUGGAGUUACUGGGUAGUCUUUCCCUUCUCCAGGGGAUCUUCCCAACCCAGGGAUUGAACCCAGAUCUCCCGCGUUGCAGGCAGAUUGUUUAUCAGUUGAGCCACAAGGGAAGCCCAAAGGAAGGAAGCUCUAAUUGUAGAAUUUGGGACUUUGACAGAGUUGUUUUGCAAGGUCAGAAGGGAGAGUUAUUGGGGGACCUUUUUGGCUCCCCUGAAAUCACAUUAAGUAUUCAUUCAGUGGCCGCUUGCUUAAUCGACAGUAGGGAUGGCUGCAUGUGGAGACAGGCCUGUCAUUAUUCCUGGCUCUAUUAACAUGAACAGCUGAAAGAAUAUGAUGCAAAAAUCCCCUUACAUAGAACCCCCCACUGAAAAAACAACCAACUUACUAUGUGCUCAUAUUUAUUUAAAUCUCUGAACAGAGCUGUUCUCUGCUGAGUUAUAAUGAGGAGUGAGUUUUCCGAGGGUGUGAUUUAUGAGCCUCUCACAGAUGGGUUUUAAAUGGGGGGACUGACAGUUCCACUCCAGCUAUGGCAGGGCUGGGGUCUUUCAGGCCCAGAGGAGCUGAAAUGAGCUGGUGGGAGGCAAGGGAGGGGUGGUGCAUGGGCGGAUCCCCUCGCCAAGGGCCAGGGGCGGGCAGCCAGCCCUGGCUCUUGCGCUUGUGAGCUCCUCUACCCGGCGAUGCUGGAUUAUUCCGUUUUGUUUCUCUCGAGGAAGAAAUAACACAGGUUGACAUGAAGAUUGAAAGUGGGGUCUCUCUUGUGCCCCAGAUGGCCCCAGAAAUGGAACCAUUCACACUUCUUUUGUGCUCACGCUUCUUUUCCCUAGAACUGUUUGGUGAUAAGGUUAGCAUUUCAUUGGAUUUUUAAAAUUUCUUUCUCUUUAUUGUGUAUUCCAACCAGAAGCAGGAGGAUGCUGAUUCCCUUUAGGAUGGACUGGUUGGAUCUCCUUGCAGUCCAAGGGACUCUCAAGAAUCUUCUUCAACACCACAGCUCAAAAGCAUCAAUUCUUCGGGCGAUUGGAAAAUGCCACCCGCCUCAAGAUAUGUUGACAUCUUAGUCCCUUGAACCUGUGAGUGAGACCUUGUUUGAUAAAAGGACUUUGCAGGUGUAAGUUGAGCAUCUUGAGAGGAGACCGUCAUCCUGGAUCAUCCAGUUCAGUUCAGUUCAGUUGCUCAGUUGUGUCCAACUCUUUGCAACCCCAUGGACUGCAGCACGCCAGGCCCCCGUGUCCAUCACCAACUCCCAGAGUUUACCCAAACUCAUGUCCAUCAAGUCGGUGAUGCCAUCCAACCACCUCAUCCUCUGUCGUCCCCUUCUCCCGCCUUCAAUCUUUCCCAGCAUCAGGGUCUUUUCCAAGGAGUCAGUUCUUCACAUCAGGUGGCCAAAGUAUUGAGUUUUAGCUUCAACAUUAGUCCUUCCAAUGAAUAUUCAGGACUGAUCUCCUUGAGGAUUGACUGGUUUGAUCUCCUUGCUGUCCAAGGGACUCUCAAGAGUCUUCUCCAACACCACAGUUCAAAAACAUCAAUUCUUCGGCACUCAGCUUUCUUUACAGUCCAACUCACAUCCAUACAUGACUACUAGAAAAACCAUAGCCUUGACUAGACAGACCUUUGCUGGCAAAGUAAUGUCUCUGCUUUUUAAUAUGCUGUCUAGGUUAGUCAUAACUUUCCUUCCAAGGAGUAAGCAUCUUUUCAUUUCAUGGCUGCAGUCACCAUCUGCAGUGAUCAUCCAGGUGGGCCCUAAAUGCCAUCACGAGGGUCCUUAAGGGACAGAGGCAGAGGGGGCAGGCAGAUGCACAGAGGGAGCAACGAUGGGAAGAUGGGGGCAGAGACGGAAGGAUGCGUCCACAAGCCAAGGAGGCCAAGGAGGGCCGGUCCACCCCAGAGGCUCGAAGAGGAGAGGAGAGCUUCUCCCCCGGGAUCCUAGGAGGGAGCACACCCCUGCCAGGGCCUUGACCUCUGACCUCUGUCCUCCAGAACUAUGUGUGAAUAAAUUUUGGUUGUUUGAAG
ensembl:lncRNA